rnacentral:tRNA from 1 species
GUCUUCGUGGCGCAGUUGGUUAGCGCGUCAGUCUCAUAGUACGUGGCACACGCCGCGGCACAUUCUGUGUGUCGCGGCGCGUGCCACAUAUGAUCCACUCUCAGGGUGGGCCAUCUGAAGGUCGUGAGUUCGAGCCUCACCGAGGACA